GAGUUUGAUCCUGGCUCAGAUUGAACGCUGGCGGCAUGCCUUACACAUGCAAGUCGAACGGCAGCACGGGAGCUUGCUCCUGGUGGCGAGUGGCGAACGGGUGAGUAAUGCAUCGGAACGUAUCCUGGAGUGGGGGAUAACGUAGCGAAAGUUACGCUAAUACCGCAUAUUCUGUGAGCAGGAAAGCGGGGGACCUUCGGGCCUCGCGCUCUUGGAGCGGCCGAUGUCAGAUUAGCUAGUUGGUGAGGUAAAGGCUCACCAAGGCGACGAUCCGUAGCAGGUCUGAGAGGAUGAUCUGCCACACUGGAACUGAGACACGGUCCAGACUCCUACGGGAGGCAGCAGUGGGGAAUUUUGGACAAUGGGGGCAACCCUGAUCCAGCCAUGCCGCGUGAGUGAAGAAGGCCUCGGUUGUAAG
rnacentral:rRNA from 1 species